rnacentral:rRNA from 1 species
GGGGGAUAUUGCACAAUGGAGGAAACUCUGAUGCAGCAACGCCGCGUGAAGGAAGACGGUCUUCGGAUUGUAAACUUUUGUACUUGGGGACGAUAAUGACGGUACCCAAGCAGCAAGCUCCGGCUAACUACGUGCCAGCAGCCGCGGUAAUACGUAGGGAGCGAGCGUUGUCCGGAUUUACUGGGUGUAAAGGGUGCGUAGGCGGCUUGGCAAGUCAGUUGUGAAAACUAUGGGCUCAACCCAUAGCCUGCAAUUGAAACUGCUGAGCUUGAGUGAAGUAGAGGUAGGUGGAAUUCCCGGUGUAGCGGUGAAAUGCGUAGAGAUCGGGAGGAACACCAGUGGCGAAGGCGACCUACUGGGCUUUAACUGACGCUGAGGCACGAAAGCAUGGGUAGCAAAC